GGGCCUAUAGCUCAGUUGGUUAGAGCUUCUGACUCAUAAUCAGGAGGUCGCUGGUUCGAGCCCAGCUGGGCCCACUA
rnacentral:tRNA from 1 species